rnacentral:rRNA from 1 species
UACGUAGGUGGCAAGCGUUGUCCGGAUUUAUUGGGUUUAAAGGGUGCGUAGGUGGUCUAUUAAGUCAGUGCUGAAAUAUCCCGGCUUAACCGGGAGGGUGGCAUUGAUACUGAUGGACUUGAGUAAAGUUGAGGUGGGCGGAAUUGACGGUGUAGCGGUGAAAUGCUUAGAUAUCGUCAAGAACACCUAUUGCGAAGGCAGCUCACUAAGCUUUAACUGACACUGAGGCACGAAAGUGUGGGGAUCAAACCGG